rnacentral:rRNA from 2 species
CCUACGGGAGGCAGCAGUGGGGAAUAUUGCACAAUGGGCGCAAGCCUGAUGCAGCCAUGCCGCGUGUGUGAAGAAGGCCUUCGGGUUGUAAAGCACUUUCAGCGGGGAGGAAGGCGGUGAGGUUAAUAACCUCAUCGAUUGACGUUACCCGCAGAAGAAGCACCGGCUAACUCCGUGCCAGCAGCCGCGGUAAU